ACCAACUCCGCCGCCAUCCCCCUACGUUCCAGACGUAUGCCCAGUUGAACUUUGAAUCAGACUUUUGGGCAAAAAAAUAAAAACAACAAAUUGAAUUCGAAUUAUAUAUAAGCAACGUUUCAAUAUGCGGGCGGUGUUUGCAACAGUCUUUAUAAUCAGCAAAAAAAGAGAGAUACUACGAGGAAAAUAAAACAAAAAUCUAUGCCAAAAUCAUCGGUAAAUCUGUGGUUCGGUUCGAUUUGUCGGCUCUCUAUCUGGGCUUAUCAGUUAAUGAUUUGAAAAGCAGAAAAAAUCAAAGCCAUUAUAUGAAAAAAUUAUAACAACACAUAAUCAAAUAUAAGGUUCCUAGAUGGAAUUUUCAAUUUCAUCUCGGUAGUCUAAAGAAUAACGUGAAAAUUAAAAGACGUGAAUUUGAAACUAAAACAAAAUAUAUUUAAUAAGAAAAACUAAAAAUAACAAAAUGAUUAAAUUUAAAUAUUAUUUACCUUAACUCAAUAUUAUUUGAGAUAUUGAAAGAAACACACACACACAUACAUACAUACGUACUACUUUCAAAUAACAAAAACAAAAAGUCUGCCAGAAAAACGAGAUUGUAAUCAAUUGAAUUAAAAAUAAUUAUAAUUUUGAAAUCAAAAUUUGUAGAGAUCAACUCAAAAUUGUGUGAUUUUUUUAAUCAGUUGUUACUAAAAAAGUAAA